rnacentral:rRNA from 1 species
UACGUAGGGGGCAAGCGUUGUCCGGAUUCAUUGGGCGUAAAGAGCGUGUAGGCGGCCAGGUAGGUCGGUUGUGAAAACUGGAGGCUCAACCUUCAGAGGUCGACCGAAACCAUCUGGCUAGAGUCCGGGAGAGGAGAGUGGAAUUCCUGGUGUAGCGGUGAAAUGCGCAGAUAUACAGGAAGAACACCCGUGGCGAAAGCGGCUCUCUGGAACGGUACUGACGCUGAGACGCGAAAGCGUGGGGAGCGAACAGG